rnacentral:rRNA from 1 species
AAAUAAAUACAACUUUCAGCAACGGAUCUCUUGGCUCUCGCAUCGAUGAAGAACGCAGCGAAUUGCGAUAAGUAAUGUGAAUUGCAGAUUUUCAGUGAAUCAUCGAAUCUUUGAACGCACCUUGCGCUCCUUGGUAUUCCGAGGAGCAUGCCUGUUUGAGUGUCAUUGAAUUCUCAACCAUGUCUUGAUUGAUUUCGAGGCAUGGCUUGGACUUGGGGGUUGCUGGCGGCGAAAGCGGUCGGCUCUCCUGAAAUGCAUUAGC